CAAGAAAAGGUCAGGAUAGCUCAGUUGGUAGAGCAGAGGACUGAAAA
rnacentral:tRNA from 2 species